rnacentral:rRNA from 1 species
GAUGAACGCUAGCGGCAGGCUUAACACAUGCAAGUCGAGGGGCAGCGAGGGUAGCAAUACCUGUCGGCGACCGGCGGAAGGGUGAGUAACGCGUGAGCAACAUACCCGUAUCAGUGGGAUAAUACAGGGAAACUUGUUCUAAUAUCGCAUAAUAUUAUUCAGAGGCAUCUUUGGAUAAUUAAAGUUACGGCGGAUACGGAAUGGCUCGCGUGACAUUAGCUAGAUGGUAGGGUAAUGGCCUACCAUGGCGAUGAUGUCUAGGGGUUCUGAGAGGGAGGUCCCCCACACUGGAACUGAGACACGGUCCAGACUCCUACGGGAGGCAGCAGUGAGGAAUAUUGGACAAUGGAUGGAAAUCUGAUCCAGCCAUGCCGCGUGCAGGAAGGCGGCCCUAUGGGUUAGUAAACUGCUUUUGUACGGGAGCAAUAAGGUCUACGAGUAGAUUGAUGAGAGUACUGUACGAAUAAGCAUCGGCUAACUCCGUG